GCCCCCGUAGUCCAAUCGGCAGAGACAUCCGGCUUAAACCCGGUCCAGUGAGGGUUCGAUCCCCUCCGGGGGCA
rnacentral:tRNA from 1 species